UAGACCCAAUUACGCUUAAUAGAAUUAAUAUUCCGGGCCGGAGUUCAAAGUUGGGUGAUUGGCAAACUAGUUGCGGACAUUGUCGAGUUACUGGAGGAGACCUGCAAAUUCUCUCCUCAUCUCGGAAUUUGAUCACUAGCCACAAGACUCGGGUUGUAGCCAUGGAAGCAAAAAGCACUUUCGAGAAUGGAAGCGCUUUUCCUCACGGUCAUUUUUGGAGGAGUACAAUGAAUACACUAUAAAUGCUUGGAAAUUGAAGGAUAGCCAACCAGAUCUUGUCCCAGGGUUCGCACACAGAUUUAUCGCCUAUACUGUGUUUGUGACAGCAGAUUCCAAGUUCAUUUCGAUUUGCCUCUGAGCGAAUUUAUUGAGUUUAUUCGGAUUCGGAUCGAGUGGAAAGAAGGAAGGCCAUGGACAAAGCCUUUGUUUUUCUAUUUCAAGAACACUGAUCCUCCCGCUGGUACAUCUAUGUAUGUAAUCAAUGAGGAAAAUAAGGAUGACGACGGAUUUCUUAACAUCACCUACAGUGGAGAAGAGAAAGGAGCCUGGACGGAGUUAAAGAACAAGGAGUUUGCUCAUAAAGUAAAAAUAUAAGAGCUAGGAGUCAGUAAUGUGAGCUGCUUAGAGGAUAUGACAUAGUUGAAGACUUAAAACUGAUAUUGAGACGAAUGACAUUGCAUUGGACUUUAAAAUGCAUCGAGUUGAAAUGUUUUAUCACCGACUUUGCUUACAGAUGAUAUAUGUUUAU